GAUGAACGCUGGCGGCGUGCCUAAUACAUGCAAGUCGAGCGAACAGACGAGGAGCUUGCUCCUCUGACGUUAGCGGCGGACGGGUGAGUAACACGUGGAUAACCUACCUAUAAGACUGGGAUAACUUCGGGAAACCGGAGCUAAUACCGGAUAAUAUAUUGAACCGCAUGGUUCAAUAGUGAAAGACGGUUUUGCUGUCACUUAUAGAUGGAUCCGCGCCGCAUUAGCUAGUUGGUAAGGUAACGGCUUACCAAGGCAACGAUGCGUAGCCGACCUGAGAGGGGGAUCGGCCACACUGGAACGGAGACGCGGUCCAGACUACUACGGGAGGCAGCAGUAGGGAAUCUUACGCAAUGGGCGGAAGGAGGACGGGGCAACGCCGCGUGAGUGAUGAAGGUCUUCGGAUCGUAAAACUCUGUUAUUAGGGAAGAACAAAUGUGUAAGUAACUAUGCACGUCUUGACGGUACCUAAUCAGAAAGCCCCGGCUAACUACGUG
rnacentral:rRNA from 1 species